AUGCUCGGCCACCGGCGCUCAUGCAGACUAGUUGUACACAUCCGUACGGCGGGCGGCCGGUUUUACAUCUUCACUUUGCAUCAUCUGUUGGAAUUGCUCUUUUACAUCUCCAAUAUAUACAUCAUCUACUCGAAUUGCUCUUUUACAUCUCCAAUAUAUACAUCAUCUGCUCGAGUUGCCUUUAUAUCUUCUGUUUUAUAUCUUCAAAUUUGCAUCUUUUAUUGGAUGCUCUUAUUGUGUUUAUCUUGUACGCAUAUACUCGCACGUGACUGCCUACCAACACACACCAACAUCAACUUGCAGGCAUGUUUGAACUUUGACUUGACCUGGUCGAUCAGGACAUGCAUGUUUCUUUUUUCCAGUCCACUUUACCCGCCAACGAUAAAAACUAACCACAAUCCCGUGUACCUUUUCUGA
rnacentral:rRNA from 1 species